rnacentral:rRNA from 1 species
GACGAACGCUGGCGGCGUGCCUAACACAUGCAAGUCGAGCGGAGGUAGUUUGAUGGUAACUGAUGACUACUUUAGCGGCGGACGGGUGAGUAACACGUGGGCAACCUGCCUCAAAGAGGGGGAUAACACCGAGAAAUCGGUGCUAAUACCGCAUAACAUCAGCUUACUGCAUGGUGAGCUGAUUCAAAGGAGCAAUCCGCUUUGAGAUGGGCCCGCGGCUGAUUAGCUAGUUGGUGAGGUAAUGGCUC